CCUACGGGCGGCAGCAGUGAGGAAUAUUGGUCAAUGGACGCAAGUCUGAACCAGCCAUGCCGCGUGCAGGAAGACGGCUCUAUGGGUUGUAACCUGCUUUUGUACGGGGGUAAAAGGAGACACGUGUAUCUGGAUGAAAGUACCGUAUGAAUAAGGAUCGGCUAACUCCGUGCCAGCAGCCGCGGUAAUACGGAGGAUCCGAGCGUUAUCGGGAUUUAUUGGGUUGAAAGGGUGCGUAGGUGGUCAGGUAAGUUAGAUGUGAAAGCUCGAGGCUCAACAUCUAAAUUGCCUCUGAUCCUGUCUGUCUAGAGUAUAGUUGCGGAAGGCGGAAUGUGUGGUGUAGCGGUGAAAUGCUUAGAUAUCACGCAGAACACCGAUUGCGAAGGCAGCUUUCCAAGCUGUUACUGACGCUGAGGCACGAAAGCGUGGGGAGCGAACAGGAUUAGAUACCCUUGUAGUC
rnacentral:rRNA from 1 species